GCAGAGGUCACAUCAAAUGCAGCGCAGGUUGAUGGAGUCAGGAUUCCAGACAGAAGGAAAAGGGGAAGGAGAGCCAAGCAGUAGCCUUCUCUCUGCUUCCUGACUGGAUGCCCUGUGACCAGCUACCUCACGAUCCUGUUGUCAUGCUCCCCCUCCGUCAUGGACUGUAACCUUGAACCCUGCUGGUUGAUGUGGCUCUGGACUGCAGUCUACGCCUGGCCUGUGGGUGGAAGCGAUUGGUCCCAAAAUCUGGCGAUCUCCCUCUGUGUCCUCACGUCCCAGUAUCUGUGGAUCCAAUGAAAAGAACACGGAAGCCAGCUGUGGCGCUCAUCUGUAAUCCUAGCACAGAGGAAGCUGGGGCAGGAGGAUCAUGCGUUGGGAAUAUUGAACCAAAAACAAAUAAAGAAGAAAAAUGUCUA